AUUGAACGCUGGCGGCAUGCCUUACACAUGCAAGUCGAACGGUAACGCGGGGCAACCUGGCGACGAGUGGCGAACGGGUGAGUAAUGCAUCGGAACGUGCCCAGUAGUGGGGGAUAGCCCGGCGAAAGCCGGAUUAAUACCGCAUACGACCUACGGGUGAAAGCGGGGGACCGUAAGGCCCCGCGCUAUUGGAGCGGCCGAUGUCAGAUUAGGUUGUUGGUGGGGUAAAAGCCUACCAAGCCGACGAUCUGUAGCUGGUCUGGGAGGACGACCAGCCACACUGGGGCUGAGACACGGCCCAGACUCCUACGGGAGGCAGCAGUGGGGAAUUUGGGACAAUGGGGGCAACCCUGAUCCAGCCAUGCCGCGUGCGGGAAGAAGGCCUUCGGGUUGUAAACCGCUUUUGUCAGGGAAGAAACGCUCUGGGCUAAUACCCCGGGGUAAUGACGGUACCUGAAGAAUAAGCACCGGCUAACUACGUGCCAGCCGCCGCGGUAACAC
rnacentral:rRNA from 1 species